rnacentral:lncRNA from 1 species
GACAAUACUCCUUUCAUAUCACCCAAAAUGCUAAAAAGACACUAGUAUUAAGUGGCAAGAUGUUUGCCCCAACCCCGAUCUUGACUCUUGACCUUGAUUCGAGACUCUAUUUUGACCUUGACUUUAGACCCGAGACAUGAUUUUGGAUCUCGACCAGGGAUAAAAUUCCCAAUCCCAUCCCAUAAUCUAUUUCUUGAUCCCCGACUCUGACUACUUGGAAUUCGUUUCUCGAUCCCCUACCUUGACUCGGGAUCGUCACCUAACUUGGAACCCACUCCUUAUCUGAUUCUAGACCCAACCCUGUGUUGGGAAACAACAAAAUAAAAAUGUUAACAAAAUAUUAUAAUAAUAAUAUUAACAAUACAAUAACAUAACAGUCACCUAACUACUUCUUAACAAGUUAAUAUAUUAAUUAUACUUGAGUCAUGCUAGGCACUGUCCUAAGAAACUAUUUCAGCAGUGUGAAAUAUUUUUUCAGGAUUAAACAAACACUUCCAUGAUCAACUAAAGGAUUUCUGAGUUAAAUAAGUCUUUCCUAAUUAACCAGAGUAUACAUGAAUCAACAAAACUAUUAAUAUAAAUAUCAACAAAUUAAACUAUAGGUUUACUAAAUACUAACUAAAAUCACUAAGGAAUAUAAUAUAGAAGGGAAGAGGAAAAUGUCAAAAAGAAAGGAGAUUGUGUAACUAAGACUUAAAUUCUCAAGUACAUCUCUUGAUGACUUCUAGAGUAAGGUUUCUCAAGUACAUCUCUUGAUGACUUCUAGAGUAAGGUUUCUCAAGUACAUCUCUUGAUGACUUCCAGAGCCUUCUCAAGUAUAUCUCUUGAUAACUUUCAAAGUAAGCCUUCUCAAGUACAUUUGUUGAUGACUUUCAAAGUAAGCCUUUUAAGUAGCUUCUAAGAUGCAUUUAAAGACAUGAUUUUUUCAAUACACUUCAAAUAUAAAUUAUUUUGAAAUAACUAAAUAAUUUUCCUACACCCUAACCCCACUUUGACCCUGAUCCAAGAUUGGACUCCCGGCCUCGACCAGGAACCCAAUUCUAAUCAGUAACCAGCCUCUAAAACCGACCCAAGAGUUGGAUCUCGGGUUGGGAUCGGACUCAGAUAGAAAGGACAUUUUUCUUGAAUUUGAGAAGAAUAAGUUCACUCAGAAAAAUAUUUUUCAAAACAUUAAUUUAACUAACCAAACAUGAAAACAUUGGAGUUCCAACCUACCAAACACCCAUUCUAUACUGUUUUUCAUGAAGUUCAAAUUCUAGUCAAGAGAGACACUGCAGCCAGUGACAAUGAAACUCCCCAAUAACAUGAGAGACUCUAGUCAAGACCAAAGUAACGUGGAACAAUGCACACCCUCUAGUACACGGACCAUCAGGAAACUUCCCAACUAAUAGAUUCAUUCCACGCGCGAGAGAUCAAGAGUUGGAUCAGAGAAACCAGACUUAUGAAUUUAUUUGUUGCUAUUGCAAUUGGUCUUGGACAAGAACAAAAUGCAUCAUUUGAUGAGUGCACUACUCACAACCAAAAAACUUUUUUCCUCUGCCUCCGUAAAAAAGCGGAAGAAAGAGCAGGAUUGCUAUUUAAAUAAUGGAAGUGCAGUGCUAGAGGAGAUUCUUGCUUUAUGCAACGGAAAUUGCCGAAUUCCCAUCCGUUACUUCACUGCCACUGAGAUAGAAAGGGCGAUCAAGCACCCUGAAAAGAAAAUAGAACUCGACGAAGGCUAUAUGGUUACAGGCUCCCUAGACAACCACCUCUUUUUAAUUAGGUUCUCUCUCUAUUCCUAUGGCGUGCACCGAGAUAUAGCAAUUACAGCUCAGAUGAGUCAUCUCAAGAAUGUGCUGAGACUUAUUGGUUGCUGUCUAGAAUUUGAAGAACCGGUUAUGGUGUAUGAAUAUAUUGAAGGGAUAUCUCUCGGCGAUCUACUUUUCGAAGAGGGUAAUCAUGAUGAUCAAACUAGAAAUUCACUAUUAUCUUGGGGAAGUAGAUUACGAAUUGCCAAUGAGGUUGCUUCUGCACUCGUCUUUCUCCAUACCGAAUUUACUACACCUAUCAUCCACAGAGAUAUAAAGCCUCACAAAGUGAUAAUAGAUCAGAAUAGCAGCAUUGCCAAAAUAGUGGACUUCUCAUUUUCCAUAUCAUUGCCUUCAGGGGAAUUGGAGGUACAAGAUCGUGUGUGCGGAACAAUCGAGUAUUUAGAUCCAGAAUAUGGCUACUGUGGUAUUAUUACUCAAAAAACUGACGUGUACAGCUUUGGAGUUCUUCUCUUUGAGCUAUUAACUGGAAAGGAAUUGCGUGAUAUUAUGGAAUCCAACGUUGAAGAGGGUAAUGUUAUGGAUAGAGUGGAUUCUGCAAUUUCAGAAGAGACAAUAAAUUUUGAAAAUUUUCUACCUAACCUCAUCGAUCGCUAUAUUAAAGAGGGUAACAUAAUGGACAUAGCAGAUAAUGCCAUUUUAGAAGAGCAUGGAAUUGAGAUCCAACAGCAAUUGCAAGAUUACUUGAAUCUUGUGAAGAAAUGCACAACUUACAACAGAAAAAAUAGACCAUACAUGAUUCAAGUUGCAAAGGAAUUAUGCCGAAUUCACAAGUGCUUCCAUGCCUUCA